rnacentral:lncRNA from 1 species
AUGAUGAAACCGAUUUUUUUAUAUAAAAAAUAAUAUUGUAGGUGUAUUCUUGAUUUCAGAAUGAUUCAUUUUGUUAUUUUCAAAAAGGUCAUAAGCCACAUUUAUUUGUUUAAUAAAUUUUUUUCUUAACAAAUGCAGUUUCAUUUUGUAUGUUUCUUUGAAAAAAUAUAUUUAAUAAUUUAUUAUGCAUGUAAGGAAUUAAGGUAAACAUUAUAAAAUAUAAAAAUAUGAUUUCAGGAUUUAGUCAAAAACUUUAAACGUGAUUUACUCAAAACUUUUCAAAUGAGGCUUAGGUCCCUUAUUGCCCCGAACCCUUCAAUUA